GUAGCUCAAUUGUAGAGCACUUGCCUAGUAUGCAAGAGGCCCUGGGUUCAAUCCCCAGC
rnacentral:tRNA from 1 species